rnacentral:lncRNA from 1 species
CGGCCUUAUAUUAUAGUCAAUCAUAGUGUCUUAGUCUUUUAACCUACUUAUCAUACCAAAUCUGCCUCCCUCAAAUUGUGACUUCAUAUUGGGUGGAAUUUAUCAUGGUUGCACUCCAUUAUAAAAGUCAUGUAACUUUCACUCAUUUUGAUUUCUCUAAAAUCAGUCCAUAUGGUACUUACUCAUGCUACAAAAAAUAAAGAUUUUAAAAACAUUCCAGAAACAUUUUAAAAUAUACGUA